UGAGCUCAAAUUUAAAAUCUGGCGGCUUUGUCGUCCGAGUUGUAAUCUGGAGAAGCGUUUUCCGCGUCAGACCGUGUACAAGUCUCUUGGAAUAGAGCGUCAUAGAGGGUGAGAAUCCCGUCCAUGACACGGACUCCUGAUGCUAUGUGAUACGCUCUCAAAGAGUCGAGUUGUUUGGGAAUGCAGCUCAAAAUGGGUGGUAAAUUCCAUCUAAAGCUAAAUAUUGGCGAGAGACCGAUAGCGAA
rnacentral:rRNA from 1 species